rnacentral:rRNA from 1 species
AGUGAACGCUGGCGGUAGGCCUAACACAUGCAAGUCGAACGGCAGCACAGUAAGAGCUUGCUCUUACGGGUGGCGAGUGGCGGACGGGUGAGGAAUACAUCGGAAUCUACUUUUUCGUGGGGGAUAACGUAGGGAAACUUACGCUAAUACCGCAUACGACCUACGGGUGAAAGCAGGGGAUCUUCGGACCUUGCGCGAUUGAAUGAGCCGAUGUCGGAUUAGCAAGUUGGCGGGGUAAAGGCCCACCAAGGCGACGAUCCGUAGCUGGUCUGAGAGGAUGAUCAGCCACACUGGAACUGAGACACGGUCCAGACUCCUACGGGAGGCAGCAGUGGGGAAUAUUGGACAAUGGGCGCAAGCCUGAUCCAGCCAUACCGCGUGGGUGAAGAGGGCCUUCGGGUUGUAAAGCCCUUUUGUUGGGAAAGAAAAGCAGCAGGUUAAUACCCCGCUGUUCUGACGGUACCCAAAGAAUAAGCACCGGCUAACUUCGUG